rnacentral:rRNA from 1 species
GGUUAUACGAGAGGCCCAAGUUGACAAGCUUCGGCGUAAAGCGUGGUUAAGGAAUAAUAAACACUAAAGCCGAACACUUACUAGGCUGUUAUACGCUCCCGAAAAUAAGAAGACCAUCUACGAAGGUGGCUUUAUUUCACCUGAACCCACGAAAGCUAAGGAACAAACUGGGAUUAGAUACCCC